AGACGUCUACAUUAGACUACCCCCGUAGUCCCAGCCGUAAACUAUGCGCGUUAGGUGUAUCGGUGACCACGAGUUACCGAGGUGCCGAAGGGAAACCGUGAAACGUGCCGCCUGGGAAGUACGGUCGCAAGGCUAGAAACUUAAAGGAAUUGGCGGGGGAGCACAACAACGGGUGGAGCCUGCGGUUUAACUGGACUCAACGCCGGACAACUCACCGGGGACGACAGCAAUAUGUAGGCCAGGCUGAAGACCUUGCCUGAAUCGCUG
rnacentral:rRNA from 1 species